rnacentral:rRNA from 1 species
AUUGAACGCUGGCGGCAGGCUUAACACAUGCAAGUCGAGCGGGGGAGGUUACUUCGGUAAUUGACCUAGCGGCGGACGGGUGAGUAAUACUUAGGAAUCUGCCUAUUAAUGGGGGACAACAUCUCGAAAGGGAUGCUAAUACCGCAUACGCCCUACGGGGGAAAGCAGGGGAUCACUUGUGACCUUGCGUUAAUAGAUGAGCCUAAGUCGGAUUAGCUAGUUGGUGGGGUAAGGGCCUACCAAGGCGACGAUCUGUAGCGGGUCUGAGAGGAUGAUCCGCCACACUGGGACUGAGACACGGCCCAGACUCCUACGGGAGGCAGCAGUGGGGAAUAUUGGGCAAUGGGGGGAACCCUGAUCCAGCCAUGCCGCGUGUGUGAAGAAGGCCUUAUGGUUGUAAAGCACUUUAAGCGAGGAGGAGGCUCUUUUGGUUAAUACCCAAGAUGAGUGGACGUUACUCGCAGAAUAAGCACCGGCUAACUCUGUGCCAGCAGCCGCCGUAA